UAUUCUAUAAUUCGUAAUCACUUGCUAGAGUGGCAACAACAUGACGCAAACCCCACAAAACUCAGUUUCCCAGCUGGUUCUAAAGUAAGGUUUAGGGGUCACAGCAUCAGCAUCACAUGUGACGAUCAAGCGUCAGCUUUGGCUGGGGUUAUCUCUGGUGCAGCCUCCGCCGCAGGCGCUUCUGCUGCAGUGCUGGGAGCUGCUUCUGCUGCUGGAGCCGAAGCGGCCGGGGCUGUGGCUUCGCCCUCCCAGUAGGAGGUCUUCUUCCCCGACUUGGAAACCGUCUGGAAGACAUCCUCAGGCUUGACAUUGCCUUUGACUGUCACCUUCUGCUCCUUGAGGUCUAUGUCAAAGGUCUCCACUCCUGAUUCAAGAAGAACAAGCAAUGAGCUGCAGAUCACCCAUAUCCAUGGGUGGUAAACUUGUGGUACAUAAACACUGAACAUUUUGACAGAUUAGGGUUUCCGCCUCAGAUCAAGUGAUUAAUUUACUGGUAAGUUUCCCAUAAGCUGGCAACAAGCUAGGCUUUGUUGGUAAGAG
rnacentral:lncRNA from 1 species